GAGGAGGGUGGACGCCUUCGCCACCCUACGGCGGCUCCUGCCAUGGGACUACCCCGGGAACCUGAACAUACUGUUGUCUCCCACUCCUGAACUGGCCUUCAGACAAGCAUCCCUCUUCUUCUCCCUGGGAGACAUGAUCCCUGGUAAAAAACAACAACUAGUCAGUGCAAGCUAGGUACUAUUUCACUACUACCCUAUAUCUGGGUCAAUCAUGUCAAGGAUAGCUGGAUCUAUGUGAAUUUUCUCUCAUCUUCAGAUCACAGUGUGCGCCCAUUACUGAAGUUCCUACCCCCACCUCACAUUAAUGUAGCUGGUUCCCAGCAUGAGUCAUUGUUAAACUGCAUGGUGCAGGGUCCCCGGCUGCUGGUCAAACUGUUCCUGUUCAAGCCUGGAGUGUGGAGCCAU